rnacentral:rRNA from 1 species
CCUACGGGUGGCAGCAGUGGGGAAUAUUGGGCAAUGGGCGCAAGCCUGACCCAGCAACGCCGCGUGAAGGAAGAAGGCUUUCGGGUUGUAAACUUCUUUUGUCAGGGAAGAGAAGAAGACGGUACCUGACGAAUAAGCAACGGCGAACUACGUGCCAGCAGCCGCGGUAAUACGUAGGUGGCAAGCGUUGUCCGGAUUUACUGGGUGUAAAGGGCGUGUAGCCGGGUUGACAAGUCAGAUGUGAAAUCCUGCGGCUUAACCGCAGAACUGCAUUUGAAAAUGUUGGUCUUGAGUGCUGGAGAGGCAGACGGAAUUCCUAGUGUAGCGGUGAAAUGCGUAGAUAUUAGGCGGAACACCGGUGGCGAAGGCGGUCUGCUGGGCAACAACUGACGGUGAGGCGCGAAAGCGUGGGGAGCAAACAGGAUUAGAUACCCUAGUAGUC